rnacentral:rRNA from 1 species
UACGAAGGGGGCUAGCGUUGUUCGGAAUUACUGGGCGUAAAGCGCACGUAGGCGGCUAUUCAAGUCGGGGGUGAAAGCCCCGGGCUCAACCUGGGAAUUGCAGUGGAUACUGGGGAGCUAGAGUGCGGUAGAGGGUAGUGGAAUUCCCGGUGUAGCGGUGAAAUGCGUAGAGAUCGGGAGGAACACCAGUGGCGAAGGCGGCUACCUGGACCAGCACUGACACUGAGGCACGAAAGCGUGGGGAGCAAACAGG